UACGUAGGGUGCAAGCGUUGUCCGGAAUUAUUGGGCGUAAAGAGCUCGUAGGCGGUUUGUCGCGUCGGCUGUGAAAACUCGGGGCUCAACCCCGAGCCUGCAGUCGAUACGGGCAGACUAGAGUGCUGUAGGGGAGACUGGAAUUCCUGGUGUAGCGGUGAAAUGCGUAGAUAUCAGGAGGAACACCGGUGGUGUAGACGGCUUUCUGGACCGUAACUGACGCUGAGACACGAAAGCGUGGGUAGCAAACAGG
rnacentral:rRNA from 1 species